AGAGUUUGAUCAUGGCUCAGGACGAACGCUGGCGGCGUGCUUAACACAUGCAAGUCGAGCGAGGCCCUCCUUCGGGGGGUGCCCUAGCGGCGAACGGGUGAGUAACACGUGGGCAACCUGCCCUCAGCUCUGGGAUAACUCCAAGAAAUUGGUGCUAAUACCGGAUGUGACCGCUGACCGCAUGGUCUGGUGGUGGAAAGAUUCAUCGGCUGAGGAUGGGCCCGCGGCCUAUCAGCUUGUUGGUGGGGUCACGGCCCACCAAGGCGACGACGGGUAGCCGGCCUGAGAGGGUGACCGGCCACACUGGGACUGAGACACGGCCCAGACUCCUACGGGAGGCAGCAGUGGGGAAUAUUGCGCAAUGGGCGAAAGCCUGACGCAGCGACGCCGCGUGAGGGAUGACGGCCUUCGGGUUGUAAACCUCUUUCAGUAGGGACGAAGCGAAAGUGACGGUACCUACAGAAGAAGCACCGGCCAACUACGUGCCAGCAGCCGCGGUAAUACGUAGGGUGCAAGCGUUGUCCGGAAUUAUUGGGCGUAAAGAGCUCGUAGGCGGUCUGUCACGUCGGCUGUGAAAACCCGAGGCUCAACCUCGGGCCUGCAGUCGAUACGGGCAAACUAGAGUACUGCAGGGGAGACUGGAAUUCCUGGUGUAGCGGUGAAAUGCGCAGAUAUCAGGAGGAACACCGGUGGCGAAGGCGGGUCUCUGGGCAGUAACUGACGCUGAGGAGCGAAAGCGUGGGGAGCGAACAGGAUUAGAUACCCUAGUAGUCC
rnacentral:rRNA from 1 species